UCAAACUUGGUCAUUUAGAGGAAGUACAAGUCGUAACAAGGUUUCCGUAGGUGAACCUGCGGAAGGAUCAUUAACAAAUCGAGUAGUGUAUGUGUUGGUAUUCUUGGUGUUAUAUGGUGUUCAAUUCAACGCCAAUAUAUCGCUCUAGAUGCAUUCACUGUACACCUAACAUUUGUGCUCCGGGCAUUAGCUUGGGUGCAACAUAUAUUCAUUAUUGUCAGUUGUUUGUCUAUUUAAAUUUAAUCAUACUUUUAACAAUGGAUCUCUUGGCUCUUGCAUCGAUGAAGAACGCAGC
rnacentral:misc_RNA from 1 species